AAAUUGAAGAGUUUGAUCAUGGCUCAGAUUGAACGCUGGCGGCAGGCCUAACACAUGCAAGUCGAACGGUAACAGGAUUGCUGACGAGUGGCGGACGGGUGAGUAAUGUCUGGGAAACUGCCUGAUGGAGGGGGAUAACUACUGGAAACGGUAGCUAAUACCGCAUAACGUCGCAAGACCAAAGAGGGGGACCUUCGGGCCUCUUGCCAUCGGAUGUGCCCAGAUGGGAUUAGCUAGUAGGUGGGGUAACGGCUCACCUAGGCGACGAUCCCUAGCUGGUCUGAGAGGAUGACCAGCCACACUGGAACUGAGACACGGUCCAGACUCCUACGGGAGGCAGCAGUGGGGAAUAUUGCACAAUGGGCGCAAGCCUGAUGCAGCCAUGCCGCGUGUAUGAAGAAGGCCUUCGGGUUGUAAAGUACUUUCAGCGGGGAGGAAGGGAGUAAAGUUAAUACCUUUGCUCAUUGACGUUACCCGCAGAAGAAGCACCGGCUAACUCCGUGCCAGCAGCCGCGGUAAUACGGAGGGUGCAAGCGUUAAUCGGAAUUACUGGGCGUAAAGCGCACGCAGGCGGUUUGUUAAGUCAGAUGUGAAAUCCCCGGGCUCAACCUGGGAACUGCAUCUGAUACUGGCAAGCUUGAGUCUCGUAGAGGGGGGUAGAAUUCCAGGUGUAGCGGUGAAAUGCGUAGAGAUCUGGAGGAAUACCGGUGGCGAAGGCGGCCCCCUGGACGAAGACUGACGCUCAGGUGCGAAAGCGUGGGGAGCAAACAGGAUCCUGGUAGUCCACGCCGUAAACGAUGUCGACUUGGAGGUUGUGCCGGCGUGGCUUCCGGAGCUAACGCGUUAAGUCGACCGCCUGGGGAGUACGGCCGCAAGGUUAAAACUCAAAUGAAUUGACGCUCGUGUUGUGAAAUGUUGGGUUCCCGCAACGAGCGGUACAAACCGUAGGGGAACCUGCGGUUGG
rnacentral:rRNA from 1 species